rnacentral:rRNA from 1 species
CGGGGUGAGUAACGCGUGGGUAACCUACCCUGUACACACGGAUAACAUACCGAAAGGUAUGCUAAUACAGGAUAAUAUAUUUGAGAGGCAUCUCUUGAAUAUCAAAGGUGAGCCAGUACAGGAUGGACCCGCGUCUGAUUAGCUAGUUGGUAAGGUAACGGCUUACCAAGGCGACGAUCAGUAGCCGACCUGAGAGGGUGAUCGGCCACAUUGGAACUGAGACACGGUCCAA